UAUCUCUGUAGAGUCUGCAUAUCAAUAAGCGGAGGAAAAGAAACUAACAAGGAUUCCCUUAGUAACGGCGAGUGAAGCGGGAAGAGCUCAAAUUUGAAAUCUUCAAGGUUCUACCUUGACGAAUUGUAGUUUAAAGAAGUGUUUUCUGUUAGAUGAGUAGCAAAAGUUCCUUGGAAUGGGACAUCAUAGAGGGUGAGAAUCCCGUAUUUGGUUAUUCAUUCUAGCUUUGUGAUACACUUUCAAAGAGUCGGAUUGUUUGGGAAUGCAGUCCAAAAUGGGUGGUAAAUUUCAUCUAAAGCUAAAUAUUGGCGAGAGACCGAUAGCGAACAAGUACCGUGAGGGAAAGAUGAAAAGAACUUUGAAAAGAGAGUUAAACAGUACGUGAAAUUGUCAAAAGGGAAGCGUUUGACACCAGUGUUGUUUUUCCGAAAAUCAAUUACGAAUGGCUUGAUUUUGUGUUGUAUUGACCUUAUCAGCUUUCUUCACUUUUUUCGAGUCCUUCUUAAUGCACUUUUCGGUUAACAAGUCAACAUCAAUUUCUUUUGUUGUAAAAGAGUAUUCGGAAGGUGGCUUUCUUUUCGGAGAAAGUGUUUAUAGCCCUAUACUUCUACAAUCGGAGAGAUUGAGGUCUGCAGCGUAGAUCCUUCGGGGUUAGAUACACUUGUGCUAAGUUGUAGCUUUUCAUAAACAACUUGUUGACUAUGUUUAGUCAUGCGGCUUACUCGCUUAUGCUAUUUUACCUACGCUUAGGAUGUUGACUGAUAUGUAGUCGUA
rnacentral:rRNA from 1 species